rnacentral:tRNA from 1 species
GCAAGUAUAGUUUCAACUAAAACAUUAGAUUGUGAUUCUAAAAAUAGAAGUUAAACCCUUCUUACUCGCU